rnacentral:tRNA from 2 species
ACUAUUUUGGCAGAAAAAUGUAAUGAUUUUAGAAAUCAUAAAUAUAUAAUUUAUUAUAUAGGUAGUA